GGGGAUGUAGCUCAGUGGCAGAGCGCCCGCUUUGCAUUGCACAAAUGCGGGAGGUCUAGGGUUCGAUCCCCUACUUCUCCA